rnacentral:lncRNA from 1 species
CAAAGGGUGCCUCUAAGGCUCGUCGGGAUCAGAUCAAUGCUGAGCUACAGAACCUACGCUCCCUGCUGCCCAUCUCAGCACAGGAGAAGGAGCGGCUCUCCUACCUCCACACUAUGGCUUUGGUCUGUCUUCAAAUCCGUGGGGCACAGCUCUUUCCUCCAGGCUCAUCUGAACGUGCUCCUGCCACGACGCCAGAUCUGGAGCUGCUGUCCUCAUUGCCAGGGUUUAUCAUUGCUCUCUCUGCAGAUGGCAAACUGGCCUACAUCUCUGAGAACGUGGCCCAUCUCCUGGGCUUCUCUGUGGUGGAGUUGCUAGCCCAUGGAGACUCAAUCUUCGACCUACUAGAUGACUCAGCACAUGAGGCCGUGCAGGAGAAGCUCCACUUGGCUCAGGAGCAGCCAGGCACUGGUAAGCCCACG